rnacentral:rRNA from 1 species
GACGAACGCUGGCGGCGUGCUUAACACAUGCAAGUCGAACGGAAAGGCCCUGCUUUUGUGGGGUGCUCGAGUGGCGAACGGGUGAGUAACACGUGAGUAACCUGCCCUUGACUUUGGGAUAACUUCAGGAAACUGGGGCUAAUACCGGAUAGGAGCUCCUGCUGCAUGGUGGGGGUUGGAAAGUUUCGGCGGUUGGGGAUGGACUCGCGGCUUAUCAGCUUGUUGGUGGGGUAGUGGCUUACCAAGGCUUUGACGGGUAGCCGGCCUGAGAGGGUGACCGGCCAGAUGGGGGGUAGGAUAGGGACAAGAAGCGUAAGGGAGGGAGACGUGGGGAAGCGUGCACAAUGGGGGGAAGCCUGACGCAGGGACGCAGAGCGCGGGAGGACGGGAUGAGGGGUGGAAAACGAUUUCGGAGGAAAAGACGCGUGAUUGCUGGGAAGGGGUAGAGAAGCAAAGGGUAAGGAAGUG